rnacentral:rRNA from 1 species
GAUGAACGCUGGCGGUGUGCCUAAUACAUGCGAGUCGAGCGAACAGACGAGGAGCUUGCUCCUCUGACGUUAGCGGCGGACGGGUGAGUAACACGUGGAUAACCUACCUAUAAGACUGGGAUAACUUCGGGAAACCGGAGCUAAUACUGGAUAAUAUAUUGAACCGCAUGGUUCAAUAGUGAAAGACGGUUUUGCUGUCACUUAUAGAUGGAUCCGCGCCGCAUUAGCUAGUUGGUAAGGUAACGGCUUACCAAGGCAACGAUGCGUAGCCGACCUGAGAGGGUGAUCGGCCACACUGGAACUGAGACACGGUCCAGACUCCUACGGGAGGCAGCAGUAGGGAAUCUUCCGCAAUGGGCGAAAGCCUGACGGAGCAACGCCGCGUGAGUGAUGAAGGUCUUCGGAUCGUAAAACUCUGUUAUUAGGGAAGAACAAAUGUGUAAGUAACUAUGCACGUCUUGACGGUACCUAAUCAGAAAGCCACGGCUAACUACGUG